UCUCUUUAAAUUCCAAAGUCCUAAUAUAAACAAACCCCCUCUCCUUUAUCUUCCCUUGUCAAAAUUCUAAUGUUGGAGCUCUGCAAUCCACGUUCUUCUUCUGUGUCGGUAAAUCUCUACAAUUUUCUCUAUUUUUCUUGAAGCUAUCUCUUUCAAUGGCGUCCAAAAAAUCAAUAUGCUAUGGAUCUGGGUCGUCUUCUAGCGGUAUGGUGGGGUUUCAACCAAGGCUCAAGUGUCACCAUAACCUUGAUGCUGUUGUGCGAAUUGCUCAAAAAGGCCCUAAUUUUGGAAAAAAAAAAUUAGGGGGUGUUGCAAAUGGGCAGUUGAAGAUGUGGUUUUUUUGGGUGGAUACCAGAUAAUAGUAGGAAUGUUGAUUAUCAAUUGGAGAUUUUAGAGAAGGACACCAGAAUUGUUGAAUUAGAGCAUGAGAAGACAGAUUUGUAAGAAAAAGUGAAGAGGGUGCAAUCCAAAAAAAAAAAAGAAAUUAGAGGAUGAUGUGCAAGAUUUGAAGCAGGAGCUCUGCCAAAUGAGACUCGAGCUUAUGAAUUGUGCAAGGAAUGAAAUGAAUUUCUCACUAGCUUUGAUAUUCUCUUUGAUUUGUUUUGCUAUUCUUGUAUUUUAUUUGAAGCAGUAAGUGUUUAUGUAUUGAACUUUGUGAGGUAUUUUGUUGUUAGAAAUAAAUAUAUGAAGUUAUUUGAAAAAUUGUAAGAAUCAAGUAAGCAUUAUGGUUGAUGUAAACACUUAUAUUAAUGUGAAAUGCUGUAAAGAUGAUUACAGUUUGGAUUGAAUUUUGAAGUACAUUGCAAAAGGUA